GCAACUUGUUUAUUCAAUUUGUUGAAUAAAAAAAACAGCAACUCGUUUGUAUUCUCUGUCAACUUGUUGUGUAUUAUAGCCUCUAACUCCUUCUUCUUUCUCUUCGUUCUUCACCCCAAAUCACACAACGCAAAGAUCUUCAAAACAAACCGCAAAUCUUUCAAAAGGUUAAUAUAUAUAACCCAUCUCAAUUUUCUUCCAUGCUGCAUUUGCUUUUUCGCUCUUCUCUUCUUUGUUUUUAAAUUUUGUAAUUUGGUUUUGAUUUUGCGGUUCAAGUUUCGUUCUUUUUGGUUUUUGUUUAAAUGGGUGUUUGAAUUGGUUUAG